rnacentral:lncRNA from 1 species
AAAUCGUUCAUUAAGCAACGUAUAAUGUAAAAUUAACCGGAACUGGUUCACAAAACCAGACCGAGCAGCAACAUAUAUAUAAAAAACAUAAAAAUGAGUUUUGUGCAAAGGUAAUCUUCUUAAAGGUCAGCUCUUCCAGGAUAGCGAGGGAAGGGAAUAACGUCUCUGAUGUUGUCCAUUCCUGUCGCAAACAGAACCAUACGCUCGAACCCAAGUCCGAACCCUGAAUGCUUCGCUGUUCCGUAACGUCUCAAGUCCAAGUACCACUCGUAUGGCUCCACUGGUAGUCCCAUCUCCUCAAUUCUGUUCAUACCAACAAAAAAAAAACACAAUCAAAGAAACAUCCAACAUUAAACAAAUUAAUUUCACUUUCACCAACCUUUCCAUGAUAACGUCAAUCCUUUCUUCCCUUUGGCUUCCACCAAUGAGUUCUCCAACCUAAUUAAAAAAGACGCCAUCAAUGUAUACUCUUCCAUGAUUAAAUGAUUCAACUUUACCUUUGGAACGAGGACAUCCAUGGCAGCAACGGUCUUCCCAUCAUCAUUAAGCCUCAUGUAGAAAGCCUUGAUUCCUUUCGGGUAGUUGUAAACAAUCAGAGGCUUCUGAAACACAACCUCUGUCAAGUACCUAUAAGAUAUGAGACAAGACAACAUUAGUAACGUUUUUUCUUGCAUUUUAAGUUGAAAAAUAGUUUUUUAACCUUUCGUGCUCAGAUGCUAAGUCGAUCCCCCACUCCACUGGGUUAACAAACUCCUUCCCUUUCCCCACAGCUUCCUCAAGCAGCUCUAUCGCUUUGGUGUACGUUAACCUACCAAACGGAGUCGACGCAACCAGCUUCAGCCUAUCGAUACACCGGCCAUUAGCUCCAUGUCAUCGUACCGCUUCUCGAGCAGCCACUUGCACAUGUACCUCACGUACGCCUCCGCGCAGUUCAUAUCGUCCUCUAGAUCGGCGAAAGCUAACUCAGGCUCCACCAUCCAGAACUCGGCGAGAUGUCUCGACGUGUGAGAGUUCUCCGCUCGAAAAGUAGGACCGAACGUGUACACGUCGCUCAGACCGCAAGCGUAGGUUUCCACUUGUAAUUGACCUGAGACCGUCAAGAAAGCUUGACGGCCGAAGAAAUCUUGAGUAUAAUCAAUCUUUCCAUCGAGUUUAGGCAAUCCAGGUUUGAGCCUUGACCUCUCUUCGGUCCUGGAUAAGCUCGCUUUUGCUUCGUUGAGUUCAGCAACGGAGGCUGUGAUCGUUUCCUUGCUUGCUUUAGCGGAUUUGAGCUGCGCUACGGCUUCGCCUCUCGCCUUGACGAUGAGUCUGGCGGCUUCGACGUCGGCCUCGGUGGGUGGAGGGUUUUCGAUGAGGUCUCUCUCCAGCUUCUCGGUGUGGCUGAUGAGAGUUGUUACUUGGAACAUCUCUCCAGCUCCUUCGCAGUCGCUUGUUGUGAUGAUUGGGGUUUGAAUGUAGAGGAAACCUUCUUCGUCGAAGAAUGUGUGUGUGGCUAUAGCGAGUGCGUGUCGGAUUCUUGCAAUUGCUGAGAUCUGAAAAACACAGGGAAACAAAAAACAGGACAAUUCACUUAAACCUAACUUUCUGAUCAAGUAAUCAUUUUUCGAAUAAGGCUGUAAAUGUAACCAUCGUCACUCAACCGUAAAGACGAUUAAGAGAUCUGAAACCACAAGGAAGCAAAAACAGGAGACUCUACUUAAACCUAACUGAAAUCAAAUAACUUUCUGAUCAAGUAAUCAUUUUAGACUAAGGAUGCAAAGAAUCUGUAAUCAUCAAUGAAACUGAGGCCAACAAAGACAGACACUCCACUCAAACCUAAUUGAAAUCAAAUAACUUUCUGAUCAAGUAAUCAUUUUCCACUAAGGCUGCAAAGAAUAGGUAAUCAUGAGCGUCACUGAGGCUAGCAAAAACAGGACACACCGCUCAAACCUAAUACUAUAAUCAAAUAACUUUCUGAUCAAGUAAUAGUUUUUUUCGAUUAGGGCUGUAAAUGAAUCUCUAGUAAUCGUCACUGAGGCUACGAAAGCUAGAAGAAUCUCAAUAACUAAACCCUAAACCCAUGAACACUCCACUCAACUCAAACCUAACUUUCUGAUCAAGAAAUCAUUUUUUGAUUAGAUCUGUACAUAAUCUCAAUAACUAAACCAAUCCCAUAACAUAUUCGAACAAAGUAAGUGAUCUUUAUUACCGAAUUGGUCCUAGAACGAAGAUGAGGAAACUCUCUCAACCUCUCAAGAGUCAGCUUCGUCUUAGGAAUCGGGUAAGUAGCAGUAUCAACCGUCCCCACAUCAAUCACCUCCACAACACUAAGCUCAACCUUCUGCUUCGUCCCUUUACCUUCGGGAGGAAUCUUCAAGCACCCAUCGACGGUCACGCAAGUCCCCGUCGCAACCAGCUUGGUGAGAUCUGAAACCGAAGCGUCCACCAUAACCUGAAGAUUCGCAGGGCACGAUCCGUCGUUAACCUCGAGGAAAGCGAAAGCGCCUUUCCCUUGCUCCCUCCCCGUUUUGACCCACCCGCUGAUUCGGACCUUUUGACCCGCGAGUCCGGCUCCGCCGUCGGGUCGGCCCAGAAUCGAGCGGAUGCGGACUCGGUCUGAGAACCGCGCUUUUUGCACUGUUGAAGAUGAGAUUCCAUCGCUGGAUAUGGAUACGGCGGGUACUUGAUGUGCCGGUGGUGGAACCUCGUCGGCCAUGAGUUUGGGGGCGCUGGAGACAGAACCCUAGAACAGCUAAGCAAGAACAUAACGUGAAGGGGUAUGAUUGGAAAUUAACACCCCGCGGAUUCUAGUGGUUGUGGUUUGUAAUUUCGUAUCAUAAGAUUCUUAAACAAUUAGUUUACUAAUCUUUCCACCUCCAUAUAAAAUAUUCGUAAGAUAAUCAAAUUACUAUAGCUGGUUAAUGUUUCGUUUUUUUUUAAUAAAUUCUUGUAUUUGUUUAUGAUUUGUAUAUUAUAUAAAUAAAUAAAAUAUGAUGUUGAGUUCUAUUAUAUUAUCUUCGGUGUUCAAAAAAGAAGAAGAUAAUAUGAUUUCAAAUAUGAUAGUUAGGUCGGUAACAUUGUAGAACAAUUGUUUAAAAUAUUUUAAGUUGGUUAGCAAUUUUCACACCUGCACAAAAAAAAAAUGAAGAGAAUCAAACAACUCGAAUAAACAAAAGACUCACCCAAUAUCUAACGUACCUGGCCAUCGUGACCACGUAACGUUGUAUUCAAUUAUGAUGCAUCUUAUUUUUUUCCCUCAGGAUAAUAAAAUUUAAGAAGUUUCAAGGUGUAUUGGGACGUCGUCAAAAGUCAACCACAUGCCUCCAUAGGACUUCCAAAAUAACAGAAUAAUUUCCCAGGCAUCACGGUCAUCGUAUCAGUAAGAGAACGAUAUUAAUUCUCCCUUAUCAUUUAUUAGAAACAUUUUUGUUGUCAUCUUCUUCUUGACUUUUCCAACCAAAAUACAUCCUCCCGUCUGUUCUUUUUUUUUCUGGUCAACACACUCUUGAUCAUUUAUGGGUGAAACAAGAUCCAUGAUCACGUUCUUCUUGUUGGUGACCUUCCUACAGAUCAUCUUCCUAGCUCACGGAGCAGCAGGAGAGACGACCACAGAGUUCAUUUUUCAAGGCUUUAAAGUAAACCAAUCAAAGCUUCAAUUAGAAGAAGAUGCAACCAUCACGCCCAACGGACUACUAAGGCUAACCAAUCGAAACUCAGACCGCGCGGGAACGGCUUUUUACAACAAACCGGUUAGACUGCUCGACAAUAACUCCACGGUUCGUUCUUUUAGCACUUCCUUCAUCUUUGUCAUCAUCCCUUCAAGCUCAAACAACGGAGGUUUCGGGUUUACAUUCACACUAUCCCCAACCCCAAACCGUCCAGACGCGGAGACCGCGCAGUACUUGGGUCUUCUCAACGAAGACGACGACGGUGAUCCGGAUAAUCACGUAUUCGCAGUGGAGUUCGACACGGUUCAAGGAUACAAAGACAGCACAGAUCGAAUAGGCAACCACAUCGGUCUAAAUUUCAACAGUCUCUCUUCACAAAUUGUGGGCUUUACUGCUAUUUAUAAGUUCUAUCGUUACCCCGACAGGUUAAGGAUGCGACUCAGCCAGGUAUAAAAAUAUAUACCUCAAUGAUCUCAGUUCUUUUUGCAUUCUUUUGAGUUGACUUGUUGCGCUGAUUCUUCGUUUUGAUUCCAGAUCCUGGUCCUGCCUUCCUUCCAAGGAAAAGGAUUUGGAAGCUACCUCAUGGAGAUUGUAAACAAAAUGGCCGUAUCAGAAAACGUUUACGAUCUAACAGUGGAAGAGCCAUCCGAAAAGUUCCAGCACAUCCGCACUUGCAUAGACAUAAACCGCUUGCUCGCUUUCGAUCCAAUCAAACCGGCCAUCGAUUCAGCUGUUGAGACUCUCACAAAAGGAAAGCUAUCGAAGAAAGCUCAGAUACCUCGCUUCACUCCACCUUCGGAUGCCGUCGAGAAGGUCCGUGAAGCUCUGAAGAUCAACAAGAAACAGUUCCUCAAAUGCUGGGAGAUCUUGAUAUAUCUCGCGCUUGAUCCUAUCGACAAAUACAUGGAGGAUUACGCAUGUGUCAUCACGAACCAUGUGAGAAUCGAUAUUCUUGGAAAAGAUAUAGAGGCUCCAAAGAAGCAGGUGGUGGAUGUUCCAACGACGUUCGAAGCUGAAGCAUCGUUUGUGGUUUUCAAGUGUGUGAAUGGAGAAGAAGCUAAUAACAGCAAUGUUCAAGUGGAUGAAAACAAACCGGAUCAAGAGCAGCAGCUGAAGCAAUUGGUUGAAGAAAGGAUUCGUGAGAUCAAGUUGGUUGCUGAGAAAGUCUCUAGAAAAUGAGAAUCUGAGUUGAAUAAAAACUUUGAGAGAGAUAUUUAUCAGAAGCUUUUUUGUUGAGUGUUCAAACUCUGUGGUCUUUAAAAAGACAAAUCUGUUUGUAUUCUCUUUGUACCGGUUUGUUACGGAGGUUUGAGUAAACAGUGUAGUUCCGGUUUAGCGGUUUCGUUCGGUUAUGCAACUAUUAGCACAAUUUACAUUCAUACCCGUAGUAAAUGUUUGAGGGCAAUUUCUUAAGUUUUCCUGUAGUGUAGCUGUUGAGUUACGUGCUGGGCCUUUAAUGGGCUCAAAACUUCUAAGGGCGUGAGAGGUUAAUGCUACAUGCUAACUAUAAUGGCACACACACUCAGCCCACUAAAGCCCAUAUAAAUCAUCUAGGUUUAGUUCAGUGUAGCAUAUAAAAUGCUUACUUCUCCCCCUUCUACGCCUUUCUGUCUGUCGACGUUCUUCAAGCCGCAAAGGUACUCUCUCUCGAGCUCAAUUCUUAGUUCUAUGAUCGUUAUAAUCUAGCAGUUUACAGAUCUGUUUAGUUUCCCGAUAAGUGAAUCUACUUAUAAGUGGUAUUUGAUAGGUAAGAGUUUGAAGAAGUACAAACACAGACGAAAGAGAAAAUGUCUGAGAAAAAGGGAAGGAAAGAGGAAGUGGUGACCAGAGAGUACACCAUCAACCUCCACAGACGCCUUCAUAGCUGGUUAGCUUUCUUAAAAACCUUAAUCUCUUCUACGACUGUUCAUGUUGUAGCUGCCUGAUUGUUCAAGUACAUAGUGUUUGUAAUGUGAUCGUCUCUUCCUGCCAUAUUAUAGUUAGGAAUCUUCUUGGACUUCUUGUGGGUUAUUUAAUUAGUGUCUAAAGUUUUAUCCUUUUCUAAAUGUAAAUCAUAUGUUAGGCCUUAAAAAUAAAUCUUUUUCAAAUUCAUUACAUUCAUAAAAAAUGUUGUUUAUGAUAUGGUGAAAAUUAGUAGCAAGCUUCUUUGGCUUACUUUUCGAAACUCAGUUUUGCAAUUGAAUUCACAUUGAAAUGUUGUUUAUAAUAAUCAUAUUCCAUGUGUUCAAUCUUGUUUCAGCUCGCUAUUACUGUUUUGGUGUUUCUUGAAGCAUAAUAAGUAUAACAAACACUGAAUCUUGUUCUGGUUCGGAUUCAAUUUAACCAAAUAUGAUAGUGUUGAAAUGAAAAUGUGAAUUUCAUUUUAAGAUUAGGUUUUAUUUAUCUGCUGAUUGUUUUCUUGAGAUUUAAGGUUUCCUGCUAAUACAUAAUUAAUUUUGUAACAGCACCUUUAAGAAGAAGGCACCAAAGGCCAUUAAGGAGAUCAGGAAGUUUGCAGAGAAAGCCAUGGGGACAAAGGACGUUAGAGUAGACGUGAAGUUGAACAAGCAGAUAUGGAGCAGAGGUAUCAGAGGUCCCCCGAGGAGGAUUAGGGUCCGUGUUGCACGUAAGAGAAAUGACGAUGAAGACGCAAAGGAAGAGUUUUUCUCGCUUGUCACUGUUGCUGAAAUCCCUGCCGAAGGACUCAGUGGACUCGGCACUAAGGUCAUCGAUGAGGAGGAUUGAGAGGAGAGGACUAGUCUGUCACUUAGACAAGUUUUGGUGUUUUUCUUUUAAUUUCUCGUUUUUUUUCAUUCAACAAGUCACAGAUGCAGUUUAUUGGAAAGACUCAUUUUCUAGAUCUUACGAUGAAUCUUUUUAUCUUCUGGAUUUUUUUCUUGAAAUCUCACAUUUUUAAGACGGUCCUAGUGAUAAUCAAGGUGAACCUUAGUUGUCUAUGCAAUCAAUUGAACCUAACAUUUCGUUAAACAUAUAAAUGUCAAAAAAAAAAAACAUAUAAAUGUCAAAUGAAAUAAACUUUAUGUAAUUCAAGAUACGUUCAUAGACAAGUCCGAAUCAAAAAAAUGUUUUCACUUUUCCGUAAUAAAGGAAAACAGAAGGACUCGAAAAUCAGUUCCAUGUGAUGUCAGCGUACCUUUUGAACGAAGACAUCCAUCACGCCAGGCCAGCUCUAGUUCGUUUCGCGUAUAAAAAGAAAAAGACGUCGACAGCAGGAUUCGAACCUGCGCGGGCAAAGCCCAAUUGAUUUCGAGUCAAUCUCCUUAACCACUCGGACAUAUCGACUUUUUGUAUGAUUCUCUCCUUUGACUACCUAUGAUAGUAUUGACCACAUCUGACGCUUCAAAUUAUAGAAAACCAAAAUUCUAUAAAGGCCACAACAUUUGUUUCAACUUUUCUAAGUGAUAAUAUUAUGUAAUAUGUGUUUAUGUGGCUAUCGGUCAAAAAGCUUCUUCCGCCCCCCGGUCUUGAAAUAUAAUUAAGUACUUACAUUUUUCCGGUUCGUGAAACUUAAUUUCUCCAGAUAACCGAACAAAACCAGUUCCAUGUCAUCGUAAAAUAUCCAAAUCGUUCAUUAAGCAACGUAUAAUGUAAAAUUAACCGGAACUGGUUCACAAAACCAGACCGAGCAGCAACAUAUAUAUAAAAAACAUAAAAAUGAGUUUUGUGCAAAGGUAAUCUUCUUAAAGGUCAGCUCUUCCAGGAUAGCGAGGGAAGGGAAUAACGUCUCUGAUGUUGUCCAUUCCUGUCGCAAACAGAACCAUACGCUCGAACCCAAGUCCGAACCCUGAAUGCUUCGCUGUUCCGUAACGUCUCAAGUCCA